AGGACGAACGCUGGCGGCGUGCUUAACACAUGCAAGUCGAGCGGAAAGGCCCUUCGGGGUACUCGAGCGGCGAACGGGUGAGUAACACGUGAGCAACCUGCCCUACGCUUUGGGAUAACCCUCGGAAACGGGGGCUAAUACCGAAUAUUCAUCUCCUGUCGCAUGGUGGGGGUUGGAAAGUUUUUCGGCGUGGGAUGGGCUCGCGGCCUAUCAGCUUGUUGGUGGGGUGAUGGCCUACCAAGGCGACGACGGGUAGCCGGCCUGAGACGGGCGACGGGCCACGACUGGGACUGAGACACGGCCCAGACUCCUACGGGAGCAGCAGUGGGGAAUAUUGCACAAUGGGCGGAAGCCUGAUGCAGCGACGCGCGUGAGGGAUGACGGCCUUCGGUUGUAAACCGUCUUUCAGCAGGACGAAGCGCAAGUGACGGUACCUGACAGAAGAAGCGCCGGCCAACACGUGCCAGCACGCCGC
rnacentral:rRNA from 1 species